rnacentral:rRNA from 1 species
GAUGAACGCUAGCGGCAGGCUUAAUACAUGCAAGUCGAGGGGCAGCGCAGUGUAGCAAUACAUGGGCGGCGACCGGCAAACGGGUGCGGAACACGUACGCAACCUUCCUUUAACUGGGAGAUAGCCCACCGAAAGGUGGAUUAAUAUCCCGUAGUAUAUUUGAAUGGCAUCAUUUAGAUAUUAAAGCUCCGGCGGUUAAAGAUGGGCGUGCGUCUGAUUAGGUAGUUGGCGGGGUAACGGCCCACCAAGCCCACGAUCAGUAGCUGAUGUGAGAGCAUGAUCAGCCACACGGGCACUGAGACACGGGCCCGACUCCUACGGGAGGCAGCAGUAAGGAAUAUUGGUCAAUGGACGCAAGUCUGAACCAGCCAUGCCGCGUGGAGGAUGAAGGUCCUCUGGAUUGUAAACUUCUUUUCUUUGGGACGAAACCCCUGUUUCUACGGGGACUGACGGUACCAGAGGAAUAAGCACCGGCUAACUCCGUGCCAGCCGCCGCGGUAA